rnacentral:misc_RNA from 1 species
GAUAAGAACGUAGCGAAAUGCGAUAAGUAAUGUGAAUUGCAGAAUUCAGUGAAUCAUCGAAUCUUUGAACGCACAUUGCGCCCGCCAGUAUUCUGGCGGGCAUGCCUGUCCGAGCGUCAUUUCAACCAUCAAGCCCCGGGCUUGUGUUGGGGACCUGCGUCCGACGCAGGCCCCGAAAACCAGUGGCGGGCUCGCUGUCCACACCGAGCGUAGUAGCUAACCUCGCUCCGGAGUGGCGCGGGCGCCUGCCGUAAAACCCCCCCAAUUUUACAAGGUUGACCUCGGAUCAGGUAGGAAUACCCGCUGAACUUAAGCAUAUCAAUAAGCGGAGGA